AGUGCCUAUAGUAUUUUAAUUCAACAACCAAACACUUCCACCCAAGAUGCGUGGGGCUUAUCAAAAGGAAGGAAAAAGGAGGUACUGUACUAGAAGACCUUACCAAAUGCAGAUGCAAAUGAAGAGAAAGAUGUUAGGGGAGUUGUUACUGACAUUGUUAUAGAAGAUAAUGGUCAACCAAAAGGAACAACACCAGGCAUAUUAACCAGAGAAGGAGAAGCAAAAUUGGCAGUUUGUUUCCUAACAUUGUAAGAAAAAAACAACAAUCUGUAUUAAAAGCUGUAAAUGAAGAGUCCACAUUAGGUUAUGUUGAGGAAUUAUUUGAUGCUCUUCCUUUGAGAGUCGGUAUGAGAUCAAAAUGCUUAAGGAUGCA